UCGUACGUCGCACGUAUUAUUCGUCCUACGCAUUUUAAGAUAUGCCGUUGGAUUUCGUCCAUCUCAAACUAUUGCCGUCCGAUCCAAUAAAAUUAGUAUCUAAACGUAUUCAUCACUUCUUUAUUUCUCCUCGAUGAUUCGUCUUCUUCUCUCUUUUUAUUUUUUCUCAUGGAUCUUCUCAAGUCAUCUCCCAACAGAAAUCUUCUGUAUAACACAGCAUUACUUGUUGAUUCGUUCAACAAUAAUUUCGAUUGGUUUCAUUUUAUCCUCUUCUAGGGCAACUUCAAUUGAAUUGAAUUUUUAUCUCCAUCCAAAUCGAGUUUCAGUUAAUCAAUUCGUCAUUGAAAUCUUCAUGUUAGUGUUCGAUAUUGCAAAUCUAUUUUAGUAAAGAGGUUCAAAAUCAUUUUCACUGAUAAUUGCUUUCAGUUUUAUUUUUAUUUUAUUUUAAAUUGUUGAUUCCCUGUUUUACUUUGAAAACUAGGGGUUUGCAGAAUUUGCGUUUCGAAGUACUUUUAAUUGUAAUUAUUUUUGAAUGUGUUCCUGCAACAGCUCUUAGUAAUUCUUAAUGCAUGAUUUUUUAAUUAAUGUUGGUCAACUGGAUAAUCCUCAAUCUGAUCAUGGAAACAACAAUAGAAGAAGGAAAACCUAAUUGUAGGGAGGUAAGAUUUUCACAAUUCUUAAGAAUUUAAUUCUUAUUAAGAAUGACUUAGUGCAACAAUGUCGAUGAUCUUGAUCCAUAUGCUUCUCUCUUUUCAGAAUGUUUUUAUCUUCAAAAUUUUGAUUCGACAAGAAUUUGAUGUGCUUUUAGACUUUAGAGCAUAAACAUUGUGUGCAACUAUGACGGACAGUAAAACAAAAAUCUUUUCUGAAUAAUAUUAAUAGCUAGCAUGUCGCCCAGGAGAUGGUUUGCACAGACGCAGCAUUUUUGAGACGUGUCCGUGUCCGACGUUCGUUGGACGCUGACAUGACACGUGUCCGAUGCACCAAUGUGCGUGUCUGGUUUGUAUGCACUGAUAACUCGGAUUUGAAGCAUUUUUUUUUCAUUUUCAUUUAAAUUUCUUUCAUUAUUUUUACUAUUAUUAACUAAAUGAAGAAACGCAAACAUUUAGGUCAAUCAUUUAGGUCUUUAUUAAGGUUGUGUAAUUGGAAAUGACAUCACGUAUACCCUUGGUUGAGUAUAUGUUGUUCUAACAAUGCAUUUUGAUUGUGCCAUGUGUUUAGUAGUGAUUGAUUGCUUGACCUUUGAUGUGUAUAAACAAACAAUCUCUUCUUUUCUUUUGAAAUUUAUACACAUGUAGCAUCAUUUUCUAAUUUUUAGGAUCGAAACACUUAACUUUGUUGUAUAAAUACAUGGUUGUAUAUAUAAAUAAUAUAUGUAUAUACGUGUCCGCGUCCUAGUUUUUUGAGAAUUUAUAGUGUCCGCGUCAGCAUCAUAUCGUGUCCGCAUCUACGCGUUCCAGCCCAGGAGGAAAUGGAAUACAAAGGUUCAACAAGAUUCUUACAGUUAUGGAGGUACUGCUACUUACAACCAAGGAUGAGACGUUAAGUCCAUCUUACCGAGUUUUAUCUUAGGUAUGCAACAUUGUCGAGUUUCAAUCAGAAAGUGGCGGUAGACUUGGGAAGUAGAAAAUAUAAGGUGUUGCAGUUGAUCUUAGGGACUGGAUGGUACAAAGUUAUUGGUUAGUAUAACGUCUUCGUGCGAAGAAAAUUGUAGAAUGCCCAGUGUUCGCCGACGUGCAGUGCACGUGCACUCUACUUGUUAUAUUUAGGUGAGGUAAAAUAGGUUAAGUGAGAUAAAACAGGAUAAAGAAUAGGAAAAUAUAUUUUUGGGAAACAGAAAUUGUAGUUGGCGGUUGUGGAAGACCCGCGGGUGGUUGAGGAAGAUACUCUCACGGAUUUGGUUGGUUCAUGGGGAUUAAGCUUGUCCACGCGGUUAUACAUUAAACGCGCGGGUAAUCUACGACUGCACUCAACAAAGCAUAAAAUUUAUUGGUUUUCCCAUCCGUUUUUCAAGUUUGUUGAGUCCAUAGUGGGAGCAAAAUGAACAAAUCUUUGAUUUGUUUAUUCCAUAGGAAUUGCCCUAAGUGUUCCAGAUUUGUAAGGUUUGCUAGUCUUGUCUAUUGCAAACAGAUUUUCAAACCUUGAUGUAUUCGAUCUAAAGGGAAAUCAAAUAUGCUUAUAAAGGCA